GGAAGCAGAUGCUGAGGACUUGGAUGAGGACGGGCACCAAAUCUGCAUUGUCCAUUGCUAUUUCCCAGGUUGAGUUGCUGAAGCGGCUUCAUUGUCUGGGGACAUACCCAAGGUUCGUCAUCGCGUGACGAGAAGAUUAAGGACACAGACGCAAACACGGAGCGGGUCAAGUAGCGGAAAGUUUAAUAGGCAGGAAAGAAGAGAACAGCUCACCGGUAGAGAGCCGUCAAUGGUGUGCCAGAUAAGAAGCUAUGCACUGAAAAGAUGGAGAGGAGCGGCGAGAUUCUGCAUCUUAGCUUGCCUAGGUGGGGAGCAGGGUACAAGGGCCCAGAGAACUCACAACCUCUUUUUUGCUUCAGCCCAUCCACUAGAACUAGCUCAGGCUUAAUCUAACUGCAAAGAAGCCCAGGAAAUAUAGAAGAGAAGAUGAAAUAUUUUGCUUAAAAAUGGUUUAAAAUGACUUUUGCCAUUCAACUCGUAUCAGUUCAAGAAGCUCUGGAAUAAGUAACCACUGAAGGUAAGACAUCUUUUAAAUAAUAAAAGCCAAACCAUACUAUUCUUAACACCUCUCAGUUUCUCUAAAGCCAGUAUGACAAUCUUAAAAAAGGGAAAUAAUUACUCCUUUUUAUCCCUUAAAAUUUAAAAUGUAGUUUUUACCAUGUUUUCAGUAAGAUUCUCAUUCUGUACCAGAAAGGCAGUUCCUUAAAGACCCAAGUUUUAAAUAUUUAACUUUUUCUGUCCAUAAAAUAGGUAUUAUGUUUACAUAUUAUCAGUAACACAGAGUAUCUUGGUGUAGAACAUUUAUUUAUUUUUCCCACAAAUCACUGAAAGUUUAGGUCAGUGGGAAAUAAUUUUAAU
rnacentral:lncRNA from 10 species